rnacentral:tRNA from 1 species
CAGAGAAUAGUUUAAAUAAAAUUUUAAUUUUGGAGAUUAAUGAUAAAAGGUUCUUUUUUCUCUGA